GAUGAACGCUGGCGGCGUGCCUAAUACAUGCAAGUCGAGCGAACAGAUGAGGAGCUUGCUCCUCUGACGUUAGCGGCGGACGGGUGAGUAACACGUGGAUAACCUACCUAUAAGACUGGGAUAACUUCGGGAAACCGGAGCUAAUACCGGAUAAUAUAUUGAACCGCAUGGUUCAAUAGUGAAAGACGGUUUUGCUGUCACUUAUAGAUGGAUCCGCGCCGCAUUAGCUAGUUGGUAAGGUAACGGCUUACCAAGGCAACGAUGCGUAGCCGACCUGAGAGGGUGAUCGGCCACACUGGAACUGAGACACGGUCCAGACUCCUACGGGAGGCAGGAGUAGGGAAUCUUCCGCAAUGGGCGAAAGCCUGACGGAGCAACGCCGCGUGAGUGAUGAAGGUCUUCGGAUCGUAAAACUCUGUUAUUAGGGAAGAACAAAUGUGUAAGUAACUAUGCACGUCUUGACGGUACCUAAUCAGAAAGCCACGGCUAACUACGUG
rnacentral:rRNA from 1 species